GACGUAGGGCGCGAGCGUUUGUCCGGGAUUUAUUGGGCGUAAAGAGCUCGUUAGGCGGCUUGUUGCGUCAGCUGUGAAAACCCGCAGCUCAACUGUGGGCUUGCAGCUGAUACGGGCAGGCUUGAGUUCGGUAGGGGAGACUGGAAUUCCCGGUGUAGUGGUGAAAUGCGUAGAUAUCGGGAGGAACACCAGUGGCGAAGGCGACUACCUGGCCUGGUUUCUUGACGCUGAGGCGCGAAAGCUAGGGGAGCAAACGGG
rnacentral:rRNA from 1 species